GGAAUUUUGGACAAUGGGCGCAAGCCUGAUCCAGCAAUGCCGCGUGAGUGAAGAAGGCCUUCGGGUUGUAAAGCUCUUUUGUCAGGGAAGAAACGGUGUUUUCUAAUACAGAACGCUAAUGACGGUACCUGAAGAAUAAGCACCGGCUAACUACGUGCCAGCAGCCGCGGUAAUACGUAGGGUGCAAGCGUUAAUCGGAAUUACUGGGCGUAAAGCGUGCGCAGGCGGUUUUGUAAGACUGUCGUGAAAUCCCCGGGCUCAACCUGGGAAUGGCGAUGGUGACUGCAAGGCUAGAGUUUGGCAGAGGGGGGUAGAAUUCCACGUGUAGCAGUGAAAUGCGUAGAUAUGUGGAGGAACACCGAUGGCGAAGGCAGCCCCCUGGGUCAAAACUGACGCUCAUGCACGAAAGCGUGGGGAGCAAACAGGAUUAGAUACCCGAG
rnacentral:rRNA from 1 species